rnacentral:rRNA from 1 species
UGGGGAAUUUUGGACAAUGGGGGCAACCCUGAUCCAGCCAUUCCGCGUGAGUGAAGAAGGCCUUCGGGUUGUAAAGCUCUUUUGUUGGGGACGAAACGGUUAAGGUUAAUAACCUUGACUACUGACGGUACCCGAAGAAUAAGCACCGGCUAACUACGUGCCAGCAGCCGCGGUAAUACGUAGGGUGCGAGCGUUAAUCGGAAUUACUGGGCGUAAAGCGUGCGCAGGCGGUUUUGUAAGCCAGAUGUGAAAUCCCCGGGCUUAACCUGGGAAUGGCAUUUGGAACUGCAAGACUAGAGUAUGGCAGAGGAGACUAGAAUUCCUGGUGUAGCAGUGAAAUGCGUAGAUAUCAGGAGGAAUACCGAUGGCGAAGGCAGGUCUCUGGGUUAAUACUGACGCUCAUGCACGAAAGCGUGGGGAGCAAACAGG